rnacentral:rRNA from 1 species
CCUACGGGGGGCAGCAGUGGGGAAUAUUGCACAAUGGGGGAAACCCUGAUGCAGCGACGCCGCGUGAGUGAAGAAGUAAUUCGUUACGUAAAGCUCUAUCAGCAGGGAAGAAAAUGACGGUACCUGAGUAAGAAGCCCCGGCUAACUACGUGCCAGCAGCCGCGGUAAUACGUAGGGGGCAAGCGUUAUCCGGAUUUACUGGGUGUAAAGGGAGCGUAGACGGUGCGCCAAGUCUGGUGUGAAAUGCCGAAGCUUAACUGCGGAACUGCUUUGGAUACUGGCGAACUAGAGUGCGGGAGGGGUAAAGGGAAUUCCUGGUGUAGCGGUGAAAUGCGUAGAUAUUAGGAGGAACACCGGUGGCGAAAGCGGCUUACUGGACCGUAACUGACGUUGAGGAUCGAAAGCGUGGGGAGCAAACGGGAUUAGAUACCCCUGUAGUC